rnacentral:rRNA from 1 species
CCUACGGGAGGCAGCAGUAGGGAAUCUUCCACAAUGGGCGAAAGCCUGAUGGAGCAACGCCGCGUGGGUGAAGAAGGUCUUCGGAUCGUAAAACUCUGUUGUUAGAGAAGAAAGUGCGUGAGAGUAACUGUUCACGUUUCGACGGUAUCUAACCAGAAAGCCACGGCUAACUACGUGCCAGCAGCCGCGGUAAUACGUAGGUGGCAAGCGUUAUCCGGAUUUAUUGGGCGUAAAGGGAACGCAGGCGGUCUUUUAAGUCUGAUGUGAAAGCCUUCGGCUCAACCGGAGUAGUGCAUUGGAAACUGGGGGACUUGAGUGCAGAAGAGGAGAGUGGAACGCCAUGUGUAGCGGUGAAAUGCGUAGAUAUAUGGAAGAACACCAGUGGCGAAAGCGGCUCUCUGGUCUGUAACUGACGCUGAGGUUCGAAAGCGUGGGUAGCAAACAGGAUUAGAUACCCGAGUAGUC